UACGAAGGGUGCAAGCGUUACUCGGAAUUACUGGGCGUAAAGCGUGCGUAGGUGGUGAGUUAAGUCUGAUAUGAAAUCCCCGGGCUCAACCUGGGAAUGGCAUUGGAUACUGGCUCGCUAGAGUGCGGUAGAGGGUGGUGGAAUUCCCGGUGUAGCAGUGAAAUGCGUAGAGAUCGGGAGGAACAUCUGAGGCGAAGGCGGCCACCUGGACCUACACUGACACUGAGGCACGAAAGCGUGGGGAGCAAACAGG
rnacentral:rRNA from 1 species